rnacentral:lncRNA from 1 species
CGGAGGUCGUGGACAACUCGUCAAACCCCGUCGUCUGUCAUAUUUGAAGAUUUAUUCGACUUAAGUUCGAGAGUGAAAAACUCUUUCUCCACUGUGCAUACUGCCCCGGCCGAGGUCUUACGAACUCAGUCUUAUAAAUCACAUAGGAUCUCUCCUUAUCUAUCAAGGUCGAUAGAUUCCUUAUAGGUGCAUACCCUACUCCUACAGUGAACUUACUACAGCCAAUCUACACUGCAUGGACCCAUAUGGCU